rnacentral:rRNA from 1 species
UACGGAGGGGGCUAGCGUUGUUCGGAAUUACUGGGCGUAAAGCGCACGUAGGCGGCUUUGUAAGUUAGAGGUGAAAGCCCGGGGCUCAACUCCGGAAUUGCCUUUAAGACUGCAUCGCUAGAAUUGUGGAGGAGGUAAGUGGAAUUCCGAGUGUAGAGGUAGAAAUUCGUAGAUAUUCGGAAGAACACCAGUGGCGAAGGCGACUUACUGGACACAUAUUGACGCU